AUUGUUUUUAAUUUUUGUGGGUACAUAGUAGGUGUAUUUAUUCUUACAAUUUUUUUUUAUUUGCAGUAAAGUACACUAAUUUCAAGUGCCCAACCUAGUGGUUUUUCUACAUAUGUACACACCCAGAUGUUACCACUACCCACAUCAAGAUAUAGAGCGUUUCCAGCACCUCCUGUUUUCUUACAUACAUUUCCAGUCUAUUGCCUUCACUUAGAAUUAACCACUAUUUUGACAUCUAUAAAUAUUGUCAGAUUUGUACUGUUCUUUAACAUUAUCUAAAUUGAAUGAUGCAGUAUAUAUUUUUUGGGUCUGGCUUCUGGAACACAGCACAGUGUUUGUAAUUCAUCUAUAUUCUUGUGUGUUCUAGUGAUCCAUUCUUUUGUACUAACUGUAUAGAAUUUAAUUAUCUAAUUAUGUCAUAAUUUAUUCAUUAUCUUGUUACUGAGGCAUUUGAGCUGUUUCAAGUUAGGGACUAUUAGGAAUCACUUUUCUAGUAACUUUGUUAAGUCUUUUGUGAACAUAUACACCCAUUUCUCUUGGGUAUAUACCUAGGAGUGAAAUAAAUGGUUAAUUAUAAUAACUGCCAAAUAGCUUUCCAAAGUAGCACCAUUUUAUAUUCCUACUAACAAUGUAAGAGACUUCCAGUUGUUCCACAUCCUUGCCAAUACACGGUAUUAUUAGUCUUUUAAAUUUUAGCUCAAUUUUUUAAAAGACAGAGUCUUGCUAUGUUGCCCAGGCUGGAGUGCAGUGGCAUAAUCAUAGCUCACUGCAGUGUCAAACUCCCUAAACUGAAGCAAUCUUUCUGCAUCAGCUUUCCAAGUAACUGGGAUUACUGGUGCUCACAACCUUCAAAUAAUUUUUAGUAGGCCUUCUCCCAAUGCUUAACAGAUUUAUAGCUAAUGAUUCAAAAUUAACCAGGACACUUUUAAAUCCAAGUGAUAGAAAGUCAAAUCAAAAUAGUGUCAGCAAAAAACAGAAACGUAUGUUUCAUACCACUGGAAGGCUGUGAAGACAGGUUUUUCAUGUCAUGGCACACACAGAAAAUGAUAAUAUGUAUAAGAGCCCACAGGAGUCAUCUUAAAUCGGCUCAACUCUGGUUGCAGUUGGAGGCAGCAUGCCUGCUUCAGCCCAGCCUGGCUACCAGGCUGAAGGAACCAACACACAGAGGACUAAAGCAGAGACGAUGAACCCAAGUUGAUGCUCAACCCUGCUACCUUUGGCACCCUGGUUGGAAAGCUCUGAGGAUCUGGAGGAGGAAGCAGGCAGGCCCUGGGUCUACUGGCAACCAUCUUGUGAUCAUGAGUUGAGACUAUAUUACCAGGAAAUGAUCCCUACAGAAGGCAGAGUGCAGAGAGGAAGAAAACAAUCUGAGGACAUUAUUGAGUGCUGUAUUAAGCGCAGCAAAUUACAUGGGCCAAUAAAUACCUUUUCUUUCUUAAGCCUGUUGUUAUAACUGAAUGCAUCCUACUAUAAUGGUUAGAAAAUAAAAUAUUUUUAAAAUAGGCCUCUGUUACUUUUUUAACUUUACAGAAAUAACUAAAAGCAAACAACAACAUCAAAACUCAAAGAAUUAUUUUUUAAAAUUCCAUAAUAAGAACUGUAAAAAAUAGGAGAAACUUUCUUUCUAACAGGAGCCUAUUUCUAGAAACCAAUUAAAUCAUUACAAGUAAUAACAAUUUCUCUUUACAGAGUACCACAUGCCAAGCCAUGUACUAAGCAUAUUAUAUGCAGUAUCUCAUUUAAUCCACACAACAAUCUCAAGAGGGUUCUAUAAAUAUCCUCAUUUUACAGAUGAGGAAACAAAGAUUCCAAGAAUUUAAAUAAUUUGUUUAAUGUUGCACAGUAAGAAAAAGACUAAACAAAGAUUGAGUCCUGAUCAUCUAACUCUGAAACACCUACUCUAUACCAGUUCACACUCUGCCUUUCUAAGCAAGUAGCAUGCAUAGCUCUAAUCCGUACACCACCUUACCAGGUAGGGCUUACAGCAGAUGAGGAAAUUAACACUCACAGACAUUAUGUAACAUGAGGGAGGUCCCACAGCUAGCUAGUAAUUAUACAAAAAGAUAAGCCACAGGGCACAGAGCGUCGUCUCAGAGAUUAACAGGCAAGAUGAUGAAUACAUGGAAAAAGCCACCAAAGCUUGGCACUCAAAGAGCCCUUAAAGAUUCCCAGUUCAUAAAAAAAAAUUAGCUGCGUGUGGCGGCAGGCACCUGUAAUCCCAGUUACUCGGGAGGCUGAGGCAGGAGAAUCGCUUGAACCCGGGAGGCAGAGAUUGCACUGAGCCGAGAUCGCACCACUGCACUCCAGCCUGGACGACAGAGUGAGACUCCAUCUCAAAAAAAAAAAAAAAAAAAAAAGAUUCCCAGUUCAUCACCUUCUUUUUGUUCUUGAAGAACUGAGACCCAGAGACAUUUCUUAUCUUGCCCAGGGCAACACAGCCAGUAGGGGCAGAGGUACGACGACACAAGUCUUUGUUAAUCAACAUGUUUUUCUAAUACACAAGACUGCCUUUGAUGAACUGCAUUUGCAGGGCACCUGCUGAAUACACUUGAUAUGGGAACUUUUUCCUGUCUUAAUGGAGUAGAUCCAGCCUCCAGUACCUGUUUGUCUUAAUAGAGUCCCCUAAUUUUCCCUACAGAAACAACCUCUUUCCUCCUGCGUGCAGCCUUGAGAGGGCUGGUAAAUCCCCCUCCCCUGGACAUGCGACUUCAGUCACAACAAUUGAAAUUUCUCUCCUGGGAAUUUGUAAUUUGUCUAUGCUUUAUUUUGAUAAUAAAUCUUUGUUUUCCCCCAAGGAAUUUGGAAUCGAUUUCCAUUGUCCACAACCUAAGAACCUAUAACACUUAAGGCCUUUUUCAGUUGCAAGUGUUAGGAAACCCAAGCCAAA
rnacentral:lncRNA from 10 species